CGGAAUCACUGGGCGUAAAGCGUCUGUAGGUGGUUUAGUAAGUCUAUUGUUAAAGCUUGAGGCUCAACUUCAAAUCAGCGAUGGAAACUGCUAGACUAGAGUGUGGUAGAGGUAAGAGGAAUUUCCAGUGGAGCGGUGAAAUGCGUAGAUAUUGGAAAGAACACCGAUGGCGAAGGCAUCUUACUGGGCCAUAACUGACACUCAGAGACGAAAGCUAGGGUAGCAAAUGGGAUUAGAUACCCCAGUAGUCCUAGCAGUAAACGAUGGAUACUAGAUGUUGCCCGUAUCAACCCGUGCAGUGUCAAAGCUAACGCGUUAAGUAUCCCGCCUGGGAAGUAUGCACGCAAGUGUGAAACUCAAAGGAAUUGACGGGGGCCCGCACAAGCGGUGGAGCAUGUGGUUUAAUUUGAUGCAACGCGAAGAACCUUACCAGGGUUUGACAUGACAUGAAUUUUUCUGAGAAGAAAGAGUGCCUUUUAGGAACAUGUACACAGGAGGUGCAUGGCUGUCGUCAGCUCGUGUCGUGAGACGUUGGGUUAAGUCCCGCAACGAGCGCAACCCUUGUUUUUAGUUAUUUUUCUAGAAAGACUGCCGGUUAUAAGCCGGAGGAAGGCGGGGACGACGUCAAGUCAGCAUGCCCCUUAUACCCUGGGCUACACACGUGCUACAUUGGGUAAGACAAUGAGUCGCGAGCCUGUGAAGGUCAGCAAAUCUAUAAACUUACUCUAAGUUCGGAUUGUAGGCUGC
rnacentral:rRNA from 1 species